AUACGUAGGGGGCGAGCGUUGUCCGGAAUGAUUGGGCGUAAAGGGCGCGUAGGCGGCGCGGUAAGUCUGGAGUGAAAGUCCUGCUUUCAAGGUGGGAAUUGCUUUGGAUACUGCCGCGCUUGAGUGCAGGAGAGGUUAUCGGAAUUCCUAGUGUAGCGGUGAAAUGCGUAGAUAUUAGGAGGAACACCAGAGGCGAAGGCGGCUUACUGGACUGUAACUGACGUUGAGGCUCGAAGGCGUGGGGAGCAAACAGGAUUAGAUACCCUGGUAGUCCACGCGGUAAACGAUGAUCACUAGGUGUCGGCGGCCAUAGGCGGUCGGUGCCGCAGCAAACGCAAUAAGUGAUCCACCUGGGGAGUACGUUCGCAAGAAUGAAACUCAAAUGAAUUGACGGGG
rnacentral:rRNA from 1 species